CACGAUUUCCAAUACAAAUGCUAGGGUCAAUUUAGGAAGUUCAACAUGCAUCUUCUGGAUGGCAGAGAGAGUCAACAACCCGUUCCCAAAAACUCCCAACCUCCUUGUCCCAAAUUACACUGCCUUAAUCGAAGGAAUCUGCCCAUGGCUCAAAGACUGAGCAAGUGGGUAGCAGAGAUUCAAGAGAAGAAGAAGGAAAAAAUAAAGAGGCCAAAGAAGACGAGAAGGUUUUCAUAUCAUAUGCAACAGGUGGUGGUGCUGAAAUUUGGAGAGGAGAGGAGGAGGAGGUAACCAGAAUGAAAGGCAGACUCGAGGGAGGAGAUCCCAACCUCCCUACCCCAAAUUAAACUGCCUCAAUCGAAGGAAUCUCCCCAUGGCUCAAAGACUCAGCAAGUGGGUGGCAGAGAUUCAAGAGAAUGGGAAGGAAAAAAUAAAAAGGCCAAAGAAGACAAGAAGGCUUUCAUAUCAUAUGCAAUGGGUGGCGGUGCUGAAAUUUGGAGAGUAGAGGAGAGGGAGGUAACUAGAAUGAAAGGCAGACUCGAGGGAGGAGAUGGCUAUGGAUGGUCGAAGUUAAGCACAGGUCCUUCGGUUGCUUUGAUAAGAUAUUCCCGAUUUGCUAUUGAAGCUGUACAGAGUAGUAUCAAAAGAUAAAAAGAAUAAUUUCAGAAACCUCAAAAGGUGUACAGGGUUGUUUGUUUGCAUUGAAAUGAAAUCAUCGGCAGCAGCGUAAUUGCAGAGAGGGGCAACAACCCAUUCCCAAGAACUCCCAACCUCCAUGCCCCAAAUUACACUGGUCUUAAUCCAAGGAUCUUCACUACUCCCCUAAGGGAUUAGCAACUUAGCGUUUAUUCCAGAAAACCCUCUAUGGGGAAAUGGAACUUGCUGGCACGGCUCUUGGUGGUAUUGAGCUUGGUCCUACUUUCUCUAAUCCAAGCUGGGUUUCUUCCAUUUCCUUCUCCCUUGUAGUUUCUCUGGCAUCUUGCCUUCUUUAGGUUUAUACAAUAAGAAGAAGAAGAUGCAUAUUGAACUUCCUAAAUUAACCAUUUCUUUUGUCUUAGAAAUUGCGCGGAUAGACAGAUCAGAUAAAGUUAAUGACUAAAUCUA
rnacentral:lncRNA from 1 species